rnacentral:rRNA from 1 species
UACGGGAGGGGCUAGCGGUGUUCGGAAUUACUGGGCGUAAAGAGCGCGUAGGCGGCUUACCAAGUUGGGGGUGAAAUCCCGGAGCUCAACUCCGGAACUGCCUUCAAAACUGGUAGGCUCGAGUCCGGAAGAGGGGCGUGGAAUUCCCAGUGUAGAGGUGAAAUUCGUAGAUAUUGGGAAGAACACCGGUGGCGAAGGCGGCGCCCUGGUCCGGUACUGACGCUGAGGCGCGAAAGUGUGGGGAGCAAACAGG